AGAGCGAACGCUGGCGGCAUGCUUAACACAUGCAAGUCUCACGGGCAGCAAUGUCAGUGGCGGACGGGUGAGUAACGCGUAGGUAUCUAUCCAUGGGUGGGGGAUAACGUCGAGAAACUGACGCUAAUACCGCAUGACAUCUGAGGAUCAAAGGCGCGAGUCGCCUGUGGAGGAGCCUGCGUACGAUUAGCUAGUUGGUGGGGUAAAGGCCUACCAAGGCGACGAUCGUUAGCUGGUCUGAGAGGAUGAUCAGCCACACUGGGACUGAGACAUGGCCCAGACUCCUACGGGAGGCAGCAGUGGGGAAUAUUGGACAAUGGGCGAAAGCCUGAUCCAGCAAUGCCGCGUGUGUGAAGAAGGUCUUCGGAUUGUAAAGCACUUUCGGCGGGGACGAUGAUGACGGUACCCGCAGAAGAGCCCGGCUAACUUCGCGCCAGCAGCCGCGU
rnacentral:rRNA from 1 species